UACGGAGGAGGCAAGCGUUAUCCGGAAUUAUUGGGCGUAAAGCGUCCGCAGGUGGCGAUUCAAGUCUGCGGUUAAAGACUGGGGCUUAACCCUGGAAAGGCCGUGGAAACUGAAACGCUAGAGUGCAGUAGGGGUAGAGGGAAUUCCCGGUGUAGCGGUGAAAUGCGUAGAGCUCGGGAAGAACAUCGGUGGCGAAGGCGGCAUCCUGGACCGGUAUUGACGCUGAGGCGCGAAAGCCAGGGGAGCAAACGGG
rnacentral:rRNA from 1 species